CUACGGGGUGCUGCAGUGAGGAAUAUUGCACAAUGGGGGGAACCCUGAUGCAGCAACGCCGCGUGGAGGAUGACGCAUUUCGGUGUGUAAACUCCUUUUAUAUGUCAAGAAAAUGACGGUAGCAUAUGAAUAAGCUCCGGCUAACUCCGUGCCAGCAGCCGCGGUAAUACGGAGGGAGCAAGCGUUACUCGGAAUCACUGGGCGUAAAGGACGCGUAGGCGGGUUGGAAAGUCAGGUGUGAAAUCCUACAGCUUAACUGUAGAACUGCACUUGAAACUUCUAAUCUAGAGUAUGGGAGGGGGAGAUGGAAUUAGUGGUGUAGGGGUAAAAUCCGUAGAUAUCACUAGGAAUACCUAAAGCGAAGGCGAUCUCCUGGAACAUUACUGACGCUAAGGCGUGAAAGCGUGGGGAGCAAACAGGAUUAGAUACCCGGGUAGUC
rnacentral:rRNA from 1 species